UGGGGAAUAUUGGACAAUGGGCGCAAGCCUGAUCCAGCCAUGCCGCGUGAGUGAUGAAGGCCCUAGGGUUGUAAAGCUCUUUCACCGGUGAAGAUAAUGACGGUAACCGGAGAAGAAGCCCCGGCUAACUUCGUGCCAGCAGCCGCGGUAAUACGAAGGGGGCUAGCGUUGUUCGGAUUUACUGGGCGUAAAGCGCACGUAGGCGGACUUUUAAGUCAGGGGUGAAAUCCCGGGGCUCAACCCCGGAACUGCCUUUGAUACUGGAAGUCUUGAGUAUGGUAGAGGUGAGUGGAAUUCCGAGUGUAGAGGUGAAAUUCGUAGAUAUUCGGAGGAACACCAGUGGCGAAGGCGGCUCACUAGACCAUUACUGACGCUGAGGUGCGAAAGCGUGGGGAGCAAACAGG
rnacentral:rRNA from 1 species